GACGGCUUUUUCUUACCGUGCGUCGAUCACCAGUUCGGUGCGAACAUUGCGAACGUCCACCUCGAACUCCAUGCCGAUCACGGGUGGCCACGCCGGAUACCAAGCGAGGCCGAUCUGGCUCACCCUGUAUUCGGCGAAUACCGUAUCGAGCAGCGGGCGAACGUCGUGCACCGUGUAGAUCUGCGCGGCUGUCACCGCAUCCCACUUGCAGCCGAGCGCAUCGACGCGCUCGCGCAUCGCGUUCAUGACGAAGCGUGCCUUGAUUUCCAGUCCCUUCAAUGACACGUCACGGCCGCCGACGAUGCGGUCGGUUGUCACGCCAUCGCGGAUUUCGGGCUUGCCCGAAAUU
rnacentral:misc_RNA from 1 species